UCAAACGUCAGUUCUCAUAAGUUCACUGAAGUUAAGCAACAUCAAGCCUGGUCAGUACCUAGAUGAGUGAUCACUUGGGAAUACCAGGUGCUAUAA